rnacentral:rRNA from 1 species
UAGGGAAUCUUCGGCAAUGGGGGGAACCCUGACCGAGCAACGCCGCGUGAGUGAAGAAGGUUUUCGGAUCGUAAAGCUCUGUUGUUAAGGAAGAACGAGUGUGAGAAUGGAAAGUUCAUACUGUGACGGUACUUAACCAGAAAGGGACGGCUAACUACGUGCCAGCAGCCGCGGUAAUACGUAGGUCCCGAGCGUUGUCCGGAUUUAUUGGGCGUAAAGCGAGCGCUGGCGGUUAGAUAAGUCUGAAGUUAAAGGCAGUGGCUCAACCAUUGUAGGCUUUGGAAACUGUUUAACUUGAGUGCAGAAGGGGAGAGUGGAAUUCCAUGUGUAGCGGUGAAAUGCGUAGAUAUAUGGAGGAACACCGGUGGCGAAAGCGGCUCUCUGGUCUGUAACUGACGCUGAGGCUCGAAAGCGUGGGGAGCGAACAGG